rnacentral:rRNA from 1 species
GACAGAGGGUGCUAGCGUUGUUCGGAAUUACUGGGCGUAAAGGGCGCGUAGGCGGCUCGUUUAGUCGGGUGUGAAAUCCCGGGGCUCAACCCCGGAACUGCAUUCGAUACUGGCGGGCUAGAGACCGGAAGAGGUAGGUGGAAUACCCAGUGUAGAGGUGAAAUUCGUAGAUAUUGGGUGGAACACCGGUGGCGAAGGCGGCUCACUGGUCCGGUUCUGACGCUGAGGCGCGAAAGCGUGGGGAGCAAACAGG